CUCCAAUGCAACUUUUUUUUAACAGAUUUUUCUUGUCAGAUCUUGAAAGCUAAGCAAGACUGGGCCUGGUUAGUACAUGGAUGGGAGACCAGUGGGAAUACCAGGUGCCACAGUGGGGC
rnacentral:rRNA from 1 species